GCUGUAGCUAGCUCAAUGGUAGAGCACCUGCUUUGCAUGCAGAAGGGUGCUGGUUCAAUCAUCAUCAGCUCUAGGUG